UACGUAGGGUGCAAGCGUUAAUCGGAAUUACUGGGCGUAAAGCGUGCGCAGGCGGUUUUGCAAGUCUGUCGGGAAAUCCCCGGGCUCAACCUGGGAAUGGCGAUGGAGACUGCAAGGCUAGAGUUUGGCAGAGGGGGGUAGAAUUCCACGUGUAGCAGUGAAAUGCGUAGAGAUGUGGAGGAACACCGAUGGCGAAGGCAGCCCCCUGGGUCAAAACUGACGCUCAUGCACGAAAGCGUGGGGAGCAAACAGG
rnacentral:rRNA from 1 species